UGUACUUGAUUCAAAUGCGAUGUGGGGACGGAGAAGGUUAGGUUAGCAAGCUGUUGGAAUAGCUUGUUUAAGCCGGUAGGUGGAAGACUUAGGCAAAUCCGGGUCUUCUUAACACCGAGAAGUGAUGACGAGUGUCUACGGACAUGAAGUAACCAAUACCACGCUUCCAGGAAAAGCCACUAAGCUUCAGUUUGAAUCGAACCG
rnacentral:rRNA from 1 species